rnacentral:RNase_P_RNA from 18 species
CGAGUGGGCGGGGUGACCGCUGGCACGGUUCGCGGUUCCCGCGUUUCCGGCUGGAGGAAAGUCCGGGCUCCGAAGGGCAGGAUGGUCGAUAACGUCGACCGGUCGUGAGGCCAGGGAAAGUGCAGCAGAGAGCAGACCGCCGAACGGUGACGCCGCUUGCGGUGUCAUGCGUGGUGAGGGUGAAACGGUGCGGUAAGAGCGCACCAGCGAUCAGGGUGACUUGAUCGGCUCGGUAAACCCCAUCCGGAGCUAGACCAAACAGGGUGCAUCAUCGAGGCGGCCCGCCUCGUUAUCGACAUCCGGGUAGGUCGCAGUGGAGGCGACGAGCAAUCGUCGUGCACAGAUAAAUGGUCACCGUCGAUGCUCGCAUCGGCACAGAACCCGGCUUACAAGCCCACUCGUUUU